CCUCCCUCCUUCCCUCCCUCCCUCCCUCCUUCCCUCCUUCCUGCCCUCCAAGAGGAGCUGGGAGCCAGUGGCAGGCCUGGUCCUCACUCCACUUUGAAGGCCCAGCCUCUGGGUCCCCUCUCUGCAGCAACAGGCCUGAGGCAGCUCUACGUGGGGCCCGAGGGCAAGUGACCACUGAGGGCAUCCAGUGGGGGCCCCUUCAAGAUCCAGGCUCUCCGGGGUUAUCACACAGAGACACCCUCUGACCUUUCUCUGGGAACAUCCCCAGAAGAGGGGUGUCUCCUGGGGCUGUGGGAGACCACUGCCCUGUGGGUGGCCGGCUCCCGAGGACCGGCCUGGCCUGGGGGCCAACGAGGGCAGGGGCCGGAGGAGGGGUGAGACUCUAGUUUCUUCCAGAGCUGCCCCAGGGAAGGCCAGCCGUACCCGCCUCGCUGAUCCUUUUCCCUUUGGGAAGCAGGUCAUGCUGAGUCCCUGCGUUCAGCCAGUAGCAGCAAGUGCAGCGAGCGCCGCGGCUGUGUCUGGGCCGUGAUUCCGCCUCCACGCGCGUGUGUCAGGGGCUCAGAACACGCCUUUUGUUCCCGGGACUCACGGCCUCUCUGAACCCGGUCUAAAACAGCUGCAAUUCUUCCCGGCAUUUGUCACUGCCUGGUGACUAAGGCUCUGGUCCGUCAAUCUUCAAAUCCUGCAAUUAUUUCUCCACCUAGGUUUUUAAGAAUAAAAGUCGAAAAUAUACUCCACUGGCAGCUCCAGAUUUGAGUCCUGUUUCAGACGCACCUUCUACUGAGCGCCAUUGAUGGGCACCACAGCUCACGACGUCCUGGCGAAUAAUUCACACUGACCGUAGUGACUCUUCGAAAAGGCAGCAGGUUCUGAAACUCAUACUUCCUGUUAGUGAAAGGAGACAUUGCUUUUUCCUCCCCACAGGGAGAAAACUCUUCAGAUGGCUUGGAGCUGUUUCAGGCGGAGCCUGCAGAUCAAGGAGAGCUGGGGACGUUGUCAUAGGGGCCAGCUCGCUGACCUGAAGACUGCAAGGUGAGCUUUAACCAGACAAGAGUGCUGGAGGAUUCAAGUCAAACUACUACACCCAGACAGGUCAGGAAAGAAUCCAGAGAGCUCUCCAGUGUUCCUGAAGACACUGGCCCAAACAGCUUUAAAGGUUCAAGACAUCUUGGCUAUUCCCAAGAGGAAAGCAAAAAAGAUAAUCCACUCAUAAACAUACAAACAAACCUGUAAUCCAGGCUUUGGGUUCAGUUGUUGCCUCUAAAUAAAGACAUUCUGGAACUGAGAAACAUCCAAAACCCUAUCCCCAAAAGGAUGGAGCCACUUCUGAAGAAUGGAAGGAUUUCAAGCUAGAUUCUUCACCCCAUAAAAAUGGUGGCUUGGCAUCCAUCAGUUAUGGGAGAAAGUGGAAUUUUCCAUCAGCUUCUGUUCCACCGGGCCCAGCAGAAUCCAG
rnacentral:lncRNA from 1 species